AAGAAACGAAAAAUGAAGGAGAUGCCAUUUCAGAGACUCCCAAAGCCAGGAAGAGUUCGUGAGAAACAAUGAGAGAGAGAGAGAGAGAGAGAGAGAGAGAGAGAGAGAGUUGAAGAUGAAUGUGGGAAAUGGCAUAGAAGACAUUGAAAAAUGAGAGAGUUAACAUAUUAACCUUGGAAAUGAAAAAGGUGUGACUACCAAACUUCCUUGAGCAGAGUAAUGUCAACGGCUGAAAGAUGAUUAGGAUAAGCACUUAGAUGAAUAUGUAAAGUCUACUACUUUGUAGCCAAAUUUUUUUAGGGUUAACUUAUUAGCAUUAAUUGCUGCUAAUUUGGCUCCA
rnacentral:lncRNA from 1 species